rnacentral:rRNA from 1 species
CCUACGUGGGUCAGCAGUGAGGAAUAUUGGUCAAUGGACGAGAGUCUGAACCAGCCAAGUAGCGUGAAGGAUGACUGCCCUAUGGGUUGUAAACUUCUUUUAUAAAGGAAUAAAACGAGGCACGUGUGCCUUUUUGCAUGUACUUUAUGAAUAAGGAUCGGCUAACUCCGUGCCAGCAGCCGCGGUAAUACGGAGGAUCCGAGCGUUAUCCGGAUUUAUUGGGUUUAAAGGGAGCGUAGAUGGGUUGUUAAGUCAGUUGUGAAAGUUUGCGGCGCAACCGUAAAAUUGCAAUUGAUACUGGCAGUCUUGAGUACAGUUGAGGUAGGCGGAAUUCGUGGUGUAGCGGUGAAAUGCUUAGAUAUCACGAAGAACCCCGAUUGCGAAGGCAGCUUCCUAAACUGUGACUGACAUUGAUGCUCGAAAGUGUGGGUAUCAAACAGGAUUAGAUACCCGAGUAGUC